GGAGAGGUGGCCGAGUGGCUUAAGGCGCACGCUUGGAAAGCGUGUGUACAGCAAUGUACCGGGGGUUCGAAUCCCUUCCUCUCCG
rnacentral:tRNA from 1 species